CCUACGGGAGGCAGCAGUGGGGAAUUUUGGACAAUGGGCGCAAGCCUGAUCCAGCCAUUCCGCGUGAGUGAAGAAGGCCUUCGGGUUGUAAAGCUCUUUCGCAAGGGAAGAAAACUUACUUUCUAAUAAAGAGUGAGGUUGACGGUACCUUGAUAAGAAGCACCGGCUAACUACGUGCCAGCAGCCGCGGUAAUACGUAGGGUGCGUGCGUUAAUCGGAAUUACUGGGCGUAAAGCGUGCGCAGGCGGUUUUGUAAGUCAGAUGUGAAAUCCCCGAGCUCAACUUGGGAACUGCGUUUGAAACUACAAGACUAGAAUAUGUCAGAGGGGUAGAAUUCCACGUGUAGCAGUGAAAUGCGUAGAGAUGUGGAGGAAUACCAAUGGCGAAGGCAGCCCCCUGGGAUAAUAUUGACGCUCAUGCACGAAAGCGUGGGGAGCAAACAGGAUUAGAUACCCUGGUAGUCCACGCCGUAAACGAUGAUUGCUAGUUGUCGGGAAGCUUGCUUCUCGGUGUCGCAGCUAACGCGGUAAGCACACCGCCUGGGGAGUACGGUCGCAAGAUUAAAACUCAAAGGAAUUGACGG
rnacentral:rRNA from 1 species